GAAGCCGUACGUUGCGUGAGAGGAGACAUGCACGGGUGCACGCGCCUUCUGCCCAUCCCGCCCGCAUUCAACCCACUCUGCCGCAGCUGCAGCGCUCUAUACAAAUCUGUUGCUGCACUAGACUUGAGCAAACAACCUUUCUCCUCGAGGCCUGCACAUCCAUACACGCACGGAGAGCGCACCAUACGCCAUAAUUCUCCAACGUCACCAGCGAUACAGCGACGGCAAUGCAGGCCAACAAGUAUCUGCAUCCCACGGAUGACGAGGUCGAUGCGCGCGACAUUGCGGCUCUCUUAGCGGAGCUGAAGGAUGUCGGCGGCGCCGUCACGGGUAGCAGCGACGCCGCGAACGCGCGUCCGUACAGUGAGGCCUCGGUGCGCCGCGGUGUUGUUGGCGGGACGAGUGGGCUCAAGGAUCCGCAGCGCAGUGCCCAUGCGGCACCUAGCCUGCAGCACCGUGUCAGCGCCGGCGAGGGAGGCGCAAGUAGCAGCACAACGCCACACCAUCGUCUAAGUGUCGCGAGCCGCCCGGGAAAUCGUCCAAGCUCAACUGCCGCCGCAUCGAGAUCGCUAGUCCCCAUCAGCUUUUCCACGUACAGCGCAGCCGAUACAGGGCUCACAGAUGCGCAGCUUAGCUCGCAACGCCUGUUCGCCACACCGCUUGGCGUGCGACUGAAACCCCUGGGCGACAGCAACGACGCAGCCGCCCCUGCCGCGUUGCCACCACUGCUGUCUUCGUCACCGCGAAAGGCCGCCCUGCCUGCAUCUCCCUCCCGUGCCAACGCCGCUGCGGAUGCGGGGGCGCCGGACCCGCCGCUGACGUCUCAGUCACCUCUCCCUCCACUGCCCAGCCUAGGAGCUCGCGGCUUGCGAGCUGGCGGCAGCAGUGCUAAGGGGGUCGGCGAGAAUCUGAGCGAAGGGGCCCCCUCGUCCGUUCUCGCUGAUGUGCUCCCAUGGCCCACGUCAAGCGAUGCAUCCGCCGGCGGCAAUGAGAACCGGUUGUCGAAGGCCGUCCCUGCCGCUUCUGCUGAUGCUGCCGUUGCCACAGCGGUGUCGUCGAUGCCCGAGGCACCGCGCGAGGUGAACUUUCUGCCGAUCAUGUGUGCGCGAUAUCUCCGCCCGGUCGGGCUCACACCAACCGCGCGGUUGGGCCACACCCUCACCCCUGUCACGCCUGACACGAUGCUUCUCUUCGGCGGCCUCGAUCUCCAUGGCGAGGAGACGACGUCGCUCAUGGCCUUCAGCACGACCACCAUUUCGUGGGAGCCUCUCUAUACCUUGUCAGAGGCCCCGGUGGCGCGCCACAGUCACGCCGCCUGCGCCUAUGAUGGGCGGUACCUCGUCAUCAGCGGUGGCGUCGCGCAGCACGGCGGCGCAGUGCUGAACGACAUGCACGUUUACGAUCUGCAUACUCACCAUUGGCGGUGUGUGUGGGACGGGCAGCGGGACGGGUUGGCGGAGAACCGCAACGAACCCGGGCCGCGCUUCGGGCAUACGAUGGUGCUGCAGGACGAUCGGCUUUACCUGUACGGAGGCAAAACAACGAGCGAGUCACGCCAGCGCACACGGCGCGGCUCCGGCACCGGGAGCGCGGUAGCCGGGACGACGGCAGCUGCGACACUUGCGAACGGCUCCGACGUGUAUGUAUUCUCGCUGAGCAGCUACCGGUGGCGACGGCGAGUGCGGGCAGCGAAGGAGCACCGCCCUUCUCCUCCUGGGCAGGCGGCGGCAGCUCCGAGCACAGAGAAGCCAGGCGAAGACGCAAAUGCGGAGGGUCAGCAGACGGUGCGCACCCGCCCUGCCACGCGCGCCUACCACGCUGCGUGCAUCAGAGGUAACACCAUGUACAUUAACGGCGGCUCAGGGGCGUCGGGGGUGCUCACCGAUACGUGGUCACUGCAGCUGCACACGGGAGAGUGGCACUGCGUGCACCGAGGCGGCACCGCCGACGCCGUUCCACGCGAGAAGCACGCCAUCUUUGUGUGCGGUGAGGCACUGUUGCUCGUCGGCGGCUGCAGCGGUGGUAGUUUGAACGAGCGCAUGGCCGGCAAGUUCACGCAUUUUGCCGUGGUGCUGCCGCUGGUCGGCAACGCGGCCGGCGCACCGUGUUGGAUUCCGGUGGCGAUGGGCAACAUGUCCAUUGUGCAGCCGCACAAGAAGAGCUUUGCGGCUGCGCUGACGGGCGGCUUCGUCUACGUUUUCGGCGGUGUGUGUGGGGCGGAGCCGGCAACGAACUCGAUGGUGCGCUUCCUGGCUGCUGAUGGCUACGUCUCGGAGAACGAUCAGGCCGCGGUGGCCACCAGCGGCGGCGACGGAGGUGCUCAGCGGCUCCGACUGAAGCUUCAGCAGUUGCGGGAACAGCAACGAGGCACACCGUUUGACUGCUACGUGUAUGCUGGCACGUACGGCAGCGCAGAUGUGGCGUCUGCCGUUGCGCAGCUGCAAGCUCCGUGGGCUGCAGGGGUGGCCAGAGAGGACGGUGGGCUGCAGCAACAGCAGCAGCAGAUGAAGACUGGGGAGGAGGAUGUGCCGAUAGCUGGUCUGCACCGCGCCAUUCUGCAUCAGCGUGCGCCGCUCCUCCGCAAGCAGCUCGAGGGUUGUCGCUCGGAGCUGUACAGCGGCGGAAGUAGUGCUGCCUUGACCACCGCCAGCGCACCAGGACAGCAGCAGCAGCAGAACCGCACUUCGUCAGGCAGGGGCCGCGAUGAGGUGGACGCGCUUUUGCAGCAGGUUUCCGAGAGACAGCGUGGCGGGGGCGCAAGGGCAGUCGACCCAUCGUCUGUCGGCAAGGACAGCACUGCACCGGCAGGCGCCUCGGCUGGCGGGGCAGGCGGUUUGCCCAUAUACUUCACGAACGGCACGCCGCGCGUCCCUGGCUUGGCACAGCCGCUCACGGCCGAUGCCCUGCAGUGUCUCGUCGACUACGUCUACUGGGGUGGCCUGAAGGCCAAGUACCGCGUGCUGCUGGAGGAGAAGGACGAGGACGGUGGCGACGGUGCCGAGGCGAAUAGUAACCGUCCUGCUGCGAGCGCCAGUGCGAGCAGCUUCACGAUCGAGUACCGAGCGCGUCUGGUGCGGACGCUGGAGAUCGUUAAGGCAGCCGGUGAGGCCUACGAGCUAGCUCCCCUGGUCGCUCUCUGCGCUAGUCUACUGGCGGGUGAUCGGGAGCAGGUGCGGCUGGCACGGCAGCGGAGCACCGAGCAGUUGCGCAGCGACAUGGCCGCGCUUCUCAGCGCGCCCUCCAUUGGUGCCAACACUACUAUGCUUGUCGUGGACCCGCAUACGCAGGCGCAAUCCGUGCAUGUGCUGCAUGCCUGCAUCUUACUGGCUGCUAGCGAUCUCUUCACUGAACUGCUGCGGCCGCUCUACCGCGCCGUAAGCGGCGGGCCCGCGAGCGGUGGCACGUUGUCCAACCGUGUCGGCCCACUGGCAGCGAAACUGAGCACGGCAGUCGCCGCCUCGCCGUUUGCGCUCCUCACGAGCUCGUCGAAGAGGACUGUACUGAUCGGGCCAGUGCCCUUGCCGCUCUUGGCUGUGCAGCCCAUCCUGCGCUACCUCUACACACAGCAGCUUCAGGCGCCGUCCGAGACCGCGUUCGAGGUGAUGCUCGGCGCGCAUCAGCUUGGCCUCACAGAGCUGCAGGCACUCUGCGAGGCCGCCGUGGCUCGAGAGGUGGUGAACUACCAGACCUGCUGCUCCCUCUACCACCUGGCGCGCAAGUACCAGGCAUCGCUGCUCGAGGAAAUCGCGCUCUUGACGGCCGUUUCGGGCUUCGCGACGGUGCGCAACACCUCUGCCUACCAGCUGUUGUCCGAUGAAGAGAAGCAGAACAUCGACGCCGUGGCAACGGAGCUGGGCUCGUCGACUUGGGUGCCGCCGCCGCAGCCAAUGACGGAGAUGAAGUCGAGGGCCAUCUACAACUUCCGCUGGGACGCCUCAGCGCCGUCGACACUGUAGCGGCGGUGUGCGCCGGCGCGCGUGCGCAUGAGCAUGAAAGGAGGAGGCGGGGUAUGUGGUUGUUGGCCAUGGCCCGGAUUGCCGCGUCCCCGUGCGCGCGGUUAAGUUGGUGUUCCUCUCCGCCCUCUUGUUCUUGUUCUGUGCCCUCCACAGUGCCGUCUCACUCUCGCACAGGAGGUGGUGACGGUGGUGGAUGGGAUUGUGUGGAAAUAGUUUUGAUCUCCCUGUUAUGCCCACCUCGCCGCCGCCGCCGCCCCCAAACCUGACUCACCGGCACUGGCUUGACUUGCACGGGGGCCGUGAAGUGAGCUCAUGGGCUCAUCUUCGGCCUCCUUCCCCGCCUGCCCGCCCACACACACACACUCUUCCGUUGUUGUUUAGGUAUUUUUUUUCUGGUACUUGCUGCUGUCUUCUCCUCGCUUCUUUGCCCUUUGCUGGUGCACCCCCACACCCCUCUUCCCUGUAUCCGUCGCCGGUGCUUGUCUCUUAUCCGUUGUUCGCCUCCCCUGCUCGAGCGUCGAAGGAGGGAGGGAGGGGGGACCCCUUGUGUCUUCUUGUGCUUGUGAUGUCCUCGAGAGGGAGAAGAUGCUCUUUACAUGUGUCUCAAGGUGGCGGUGCUGGGGUUAGGUUCUCCGCUCCUCUCCUCCCCACGCUUUUGCCAUCAUCCCCCUCCCCCCUCCCCGCCUGCCUUCUGCUCGCUAGUCUUUCGUGUCAGUGCUAUCCAUGAUGUACAUGCGCCGCGUUGUUCCAUGUUUCUCUCCCUCCCCUCCCUUCUCUUUAUCAUCAUCAUCCUCUUGCUCUGCCCUCGUGUUGUUUGGCUCACUGCUUCCCUCCUCCCAAUAACGGGAGCAGUCCGUCUGUGAUGGCGACACACACACACACGCACGUAGAGACGCAACGCACUCGCUGACCUGCGCCCGCACAUCUCCUCUAUGUAUGUGUAUGCCCAGCCCUCUCUCCUCCUCCUCCCCUCCCUACCCCCUUUCUCUGCCUUUCACAUACAGGAUUGCCCGCACUGAAAGCCAUGACCACGUCGCUCGUAGAACUGUCAACAGGAACCAAAUAGAGCCUUCACGCACCGUUGUAGACGGGCUUCACCUCCCUCUCGUGCUCUAACCUCUUCGUCUUCUCGGCGGCCCACCCAAACCUCUCCUGCACCACGGAUCGCGUGACGUGUUCGUCUACUCUCCCCCCUUCCCCUCCAAAGAAAAAAAAACGAGUUAGUUUGUCUUUGCACAGCUGGCACCUCCGCUGCAUCCGUAUCGCGGCUGCUCGUUGGA
rnacentral:misc_RNA from 1 species